rnacentral:rRNA from 1 species
UGGGGGAUAUUGCACAAUGGGCGAAAGCCUGAUGCAGCGACGCUGCGUGGGGGAUGAAGGCGUUCGGGUUGUAAACCUCUUUCGCUAUCGAACAAGGCCCGCCUAGGGUGGGUUGAGGGUAGGUGGAGAAGAAGCGCCGGCCAACUACGUGCCAGCAGCCGCGGUAAUCCGUAGGGCGCGUGCGUUGUCCGGAAUUAUUGGGCGUAAAGGGCUUGUAGGCGGCUUGUCGCGCCUGCUGUGAAAACGCGGGGCUUAACUUCGCGCGUGCAGUGGGUACGGGCAGGCUUGAGUGUGGUAGGGGUGACUGGAAUUCCAGGUGUAGCGGUGGAAUGCGCAGAUAUCUGGAGGAACACCGAUGGCGAAGGGAGGUCACUGGGCCAUUACUGACGCUGAGGAGCGAAAGCAUAGGUAGCGAACAGG